rnacentral:rRNA from 1 species
AUGGCGACCGGCGCACGGGUGCGUAACGCGUAUGCAACCUACCUUUAACAGGGGCAUAACACUGAGAAAUUGGUACUAAUUCCCCAUAACAUUCGAGAAGGCAUCUUCUUGGGUUAAAAACUCCGGUGGUUAAAGAUGGGCAUGCGUUGUAUUAGCUAGUUGGUGAGGUAACGGCUCACCAAGCCUUCGAUGGAUAGGGGUUCUGAGAGGAAGGUCCCCCACAUUGGAACUGAGACACGGUCCAA